GUGACCUCAAAUCAGGUAGGACUACCCGCUGAACUUAAGCAUAUCAAUAAGCGGAGGAAAAGAAACUAACAAGGAUUCCCCUAGUAACUGCGAGUGAAGCGGGAAAAGCUCAAAUUUAAAAUCUGGCAGUCUUACUGUCCGAGUUGUAAUCUAGAGAAGCAUUAUCCGCGUUGGACCGUGUACAAGUCUCCUGGAAUGGAGCGUCAUAGAGGGUGAGAAUCCCGUCUUUGACACGGACUGCCAAGGCUUUUGUGAUGUGCUCUCAAAGAGUCGAGUUGUUUGGGAAUGCAGCUCAAAAUGGGUGGUAAAUUCCAUCUAAAGCUAAAUAUUGGCGAGAGACCGAUAGCGAACAAGUACCGUGAGGGAAAGAUGAAAAGAACUUUGGAAAGAGAGUUAAACAGUACGUGAAAUUGCUGAAAGGGAAACGCUUGAAGUCAGUCGCGUUGAUCAGAGAUCAACCUUGCUUUUGCUUGGUGUACUUUCUGGUUUGACGGGUCAGCAUCAAUUUUGAUCAUUGGAAAAAGGUCAAGGGAAUGUGGCAUCUUCGGAUGUGUUUAUAGCCCUUGGUUGUAUGCAAUGGUUGGGAUUGAGGAACUCAGCAU
rnacentral:rRNA from 2 species